AUAGUACCCCAUUCCUUGCUGCAAUGUAAUUAUAUUUACUUACAAGUGUGCUCCUGGUGGUCUUUAACUGAAGGGCACUGACUGGGUCACUGGUGAAGUUCCCCGCAGGAACUGAGUCAGACCCCAUCUCAGGGCCCUGCACAAGAUAGGUACCUGCUCUAAGGCGUGGACCCUCGCCACAGCCCUGGCCCGUCUUGACGGGCGAGGGUUACUGUACUUGUCCCAACCGUACAGAUGAGAAAGCUGAGACUCAGGGCCAGCAACCCGGGUCCCAGCGGAGCGCCCGGCACGCGCCAACACUUCAGCACCAGUCGCGGUGGCCACCACUGUGCGCGGAGAUGGCUGCGACGCGUGCGCAGAAUCUGGACCCGAAUCCACCCAUUGUCCGUUUUCCGCUGCCGCUGGAGAGAAUCUCUGAGGUCCCCAGGAGAGCCUGCCUGCACGGAAGAGACGCCUCCUCGGUAUGGCCGCCCCCGGAGAGGAGCGAUUAAGUGCAGACCUCCAUGUUGCUCUUGAGCCUGAGCGGCUUCAGGGAGCCAUGUUUGUUACUGGCGGGCGCCGACCUCACUGAGCAUGUGCAGCCCUGGCCGGGCGGCCUCAAAGUUCUGACAUCACAGGGCGGUUCCUGAAGUGGACAUAGUUGUAAGAGCUAGUUAUUUUAGACAAUGCCUCUGUGAUCAGGGACUCUAAUCUGGAAAUAGGUAGUCGGAGAGGUCGGUGAUGCAGUCUCUGGAUCAGAGACCUGAGCUAUAUGGGGUUAGAGAGGGGCCCUGGGCAGGCGAGUCUCUGGGGAGUGUGGUGAGAAUCCUUGUGUAAGAUGCUGGGAGGAGGUGGGGUCAGGGCUGGGGUCCGUGGGCCGACGGGUUGGGGGAUGGCCAGCGUCAGGGAUCAGUAGUAGAGAUUCUAUGUGCCCUGAUCGCCAGUGGAGGUUUUAAAUACAGAGUAUUCAUGAGUUUAGCAAUGUUAUUCGCCUCUCAUUAUUUAAAUAAUUUGAAGUUUUCCCCAAUAACUAGUGUCUUAGAAGUCAUGAAAAUUUCAGAAAAUGACAGGUCUUCUGAGUUCAUGAUGGGAGUUGGGCAGCAGUCGCAUACGAGCACCUGGAGAGUCCUUGCCAGUUCUUUGGGGAUGGGGAGCUCUUAAGACUGCCCUGAGACCGCCCUUUGACCUCAUUGUGGUCCUUUCUAGAUUAAAUGCUGUUUUCCAUGACCGUCUCUGUUCUUCCCAUACGCGAAUGGCAGGCAUUCAGAUCUCCAAGAAUAGAGGAUUAGGAGAGACUCCACCACCUAUGUCCUCACAGUUAAUUAUCGAUUUGUGUCAGUUGCCCAUUUUCUCACUUCCUGUUUGUGUGUCAAGGGGUAUUAAUAAAUCUUUGCCUAUUUAAAGAUAUUAGCCUUGGAUUUUCAAAUAUUGCAUAUUUUGACAUGUAAAAAUUUGUUAGUUUUAUUUUUUCAACCGAUCUGACCUGUAUAGUUGGGCUUGAGGAAGCUUCCUCAUUCUACAUGUUACUAUGGAUUUUCUAAUAUUAACACAGGGUUGUAUUUUUUCCAUAUAACUUUCUAUUGAAUUUCUUUUUCCAUAUGAUAGGUGGUGAAGGUUUAGCCCAGUAAAGCAGAGAGGUUAAGAGGUUAGAUUGGGGGCUCUGGAGCCAGACCUGUGUAGAUCUGAGUCCUGGCUCUGGCACUUGAAAGCCGUGUGACCUUGGUUAAGAUACUUAGUCCCUCUCUGCCAAAUGGAGAAAUAAGGGCACCUACCCCAUAGGGUAGUUGUGUGAUUACACAAGUUAAUACACUUCAAUCAGUAGCAAGAAAGUGAAUGUCAAGCUGUAUUUGUUCAGGCAGCCAUAUGGUAGCCCCACGUCCUUAGUAAACUGAGGUAUUGAAGUAUCUUCUUUUUCUUUCAGAAAAUAUUUGUCAAGCACCUUCUGUGUUCAAAGAACUGUUCUAGAGCUUUACAUGCUAUGGAGGUCUAGAAAUUCACAUUAUGGUGGCAGGUGACAGACAAUACAAAGAGAUAAAGCAAUUUUAUAUAGUGAUAAGCUAGGGAGGAGUGCUAAAAGGAGCCAAGGUGUAGUGGUGACUGGAAGGUGACCAGGGAAACCACUGUAGGGUUUCUAAGUGAUGAGAUCUGUGACAAAUCCCUGUGGUCAGCAGCAGGCAUUGGAUAUGUAACUUUAUUCUGUCCCAUUGAUCUUGUAGUCAACCCUGGUCUGUUCUGUAUUGUUUUAAUUACAUAAUCUUUGUAAUAAUCUUUAAUACCUGG
rnacentral:lncRNA from 10 species